rnacentral:misc_RNA from 1 species
AACUUUUAACAACGGAUCACUAAGUGGGUGGGUUCCAGCAGCAAUGGUAUCGGCACCAUUGGCGAUUCGGUAAUUCUGGAAUCUUCAGUGGCAACCAUUGGCAUUGGCACAAAUCCCUUCGCUGACUUUAGGCUCGGCGUUGACGGCGGCACUACAAUCUCUGGGGGCGUAUUCGGCUCGUCUAGCGUAUUCAACGGUACGGGUCUAAGAGGUCGGGCAUUACAUCCAAAUUCUGGCACAGGUGUAUCGGGCUUCGGGACUACCGGUCUGUUCGGACAAACCCUCGGUAAUAAUCCGAACGGCAAUAACAUCGGUGUCUGGGGAGUCUCAGCAAACAGCAGUGGCAUUGGCGUCAGAGGGCAGAACACCUCUGGCGGAUUGGCGGGCAAAUUUGAUGGUGAUGUGGCGAUCAUUGGCAACUUAAGCAUAUCAAUAAGCGGAGGCU